UGGCUUUGGGAACCUCACCCCCCUGCGGUCGCUGCGGGGCUUGGAUGAGCGAACUGCGGAGCAACUUUUAUUUGACCCUCCUGCCGCCCCUCAGCUUUUAUCUUCCAUCACUCGCCUGGAUCGAAAGGUUUUUCAGUUUAAGAGCUGAUUAGCUCACUCAUGUGUUUGCUGUUUGUAGUGGGGGAAGGAGGAGCUGGGCGAAACACUUAAAAACAACACGCACACAAACUCUCCGGCAACAGAGUGGACAGGCCAAAAUCUCAUCAAGUUCGAACCUCUGGUACAAUAAGGCGAACCUCUUCUUUGGAUACGAUAACAGGACCUUAUCUCACAGGACAGUGGCCACGAGAUCCUCAUGUUCAUUACCCUUCAUGCAUGAAAGAUAAAGCUACUCAGAGUGGACAGGCCAAAAUCUCAUCAAGUUCGAACCUCUGGUACAAUAAGGCGAACCUCUUCUUUGGAUACGACCUUAUCUCACAGGACAGUGGCCACGAGAUCCUCAUGUUCAUUACCCUUCAUGCAUGAAAGAUAAAGCUACUCAGUUCCAGAAAUGACGUCUGCUGAAGGGAGAACAUGUUCUAGCAAUGAAAUCUUCAAAAGACUCCUGCUGCUGCUCUGUGACUGGGACCCCCAGGUUGUCUUUGGAAGUUUCUAAGGCCUCCUGAGUAGAGACUGGGACAUGGAAGGAGUCGAGAGGCAAAGGAAGCCCAGCAUCACCUGUAAUUUUCUGAAACUGGAGGGAAAGACAAAAGACAAGACAAAAAUUCAGUGAUGAACAAAGCCAACCAUUAAAAAGUAGAGUUCAAAACGCACAUGUAAACAGUAUAUAGUUUGUGACCAGACUGUGUUCUCAAGCUGUCAGUUCCCAAGACCAGUCUGAGAUUGGCUGAGGUGGGUGAAGGGGGCUCCAAGUAACGCUAGAGGAAAAGCUGACAUGUUUCCCCUCCCAUUCCCAUGACCAGACAACAGGAAGAGAAAAUAAAAAUGUAAACAAUGGGAGGAACCAAGAUGGCAGACUAGAAGGACGUGAUCUCACUCCCUCUUGCGAGGACACUGGAAUCACAACUAGCUGCUGGACGGUCAUCGACAGGAAGACACUGGAACACACCAAAAAGGAUACCCCGCAUCCAAAGACAAAGGAGAAGCCACAAUGAGACGGCACCCCAGAGAGAAGGUGUGGAACUAUUAGAAGCAACCUGGAUAUCAACCCUGCUUCUGGGAGGCAGUUCUGACUACAAGGGCAGGAGAUUCUCUGAAGCCAGCUCGAGAGAGGCUAUAUUCAUCUGUGUUGAUCACUGCUGUGUUUCCUGAACAUGCCUAUAAAACAUACUGAAGAAGGGUGCCUGAAAUUUGGGUAAAAUUGAAGCGUCCUGGCAGACAGGAGAAGUGACGGAAGGAGAGCUGCGUCUGGACCUUGGAGGAGGGCUGCGAUCUCACAGGAGAAGCAGGUGCGAGGGAGACCCUGGGGCAGCCACCGGGAGGCCAGGAGGCUGGAGUGAGCAUGCUCAGAGAGGCUGUGGUGGGAUCGUGGUCCGUGAGGAUGAGGGUGGAGGAAGUUACACAGGUGGGAUGGGGCCAGGUUUCACCUGACUCUGAAAGCCAGGCAGAAGGCAGACUAGAAACUUGAGGCUUGUGUUUCUCAAACCCCAGGCUACUCAUAAAUAUGCAGCAUCUUCCUGGAAACUCAGUGUUAUACAAAUAUUUGGGGCAACUCAUUCUUUAACUCAUGUACUAAAACAAACGUUCUGGAGUAGAAUACAAAAUUGACGUGACUUUCGUAAUAAAAUAUGCAUUUUUGAAGCCACUUUGGUUUAUGGCAGGUCCCUUGCAUGACACUGUCACACCCCCAGGGACUCUUCUCCAUAUGGGGUGUAUCACGGGACAGUUUGAGAAUUUCCUUAAGCAAUAGGAAAUGAGACCUCACUGCCCAAGGCUUUGCUCUGUGCCUGGAGCAUCUUUUCUGCCCCUGUGAGCAUCUUCUGGUCCCACUCCAAGAGCUGAUCUGACAUCUGGGCUAAUAGAGCAGAGUGACUGUGUGUCCCACGAAUAUUCGCCAAUGCCAAGAUGUGGUCCCUUAAUAUCAAGUGCUAGGACAUCUGUACGGUCCUUUGUAGGUUGAUUUGCCAUCAUACUCUCCACAGCCCUAGAAAUAAUAAUAUUACCCUGAUUUACAAAUGAGGGAAUGAUGUGCGGCAGGUUUUGUAAACAAGUUGGAUGGGUACUUUCGAGAAGACUGUAUGUCAGGACAUGGGUCCUGGCAGGCAGGGGGCCCCAGAGUCAUAUUCAUGUGUGCAGCCCUUUGAUCUGGAAGGUGCCUUCUGUCACGGUCAUCCGCCAGCUUCAUGGAAGGCAGCCGCCCUUCCUCAUUCAGUUCUCCAGCGUCUGUCAACUGGUGCAUUGCUGGACAGGAAUUCAUGACAGCGUUCAGCCCCAUGUUUCUUAUGAAGAAUUUAACUGAAGCAAACAGAAUUUAGGUGGGCAAUUUAGCCUUGGAGAUUGCUGUCUGUCCAUCUGUCUGUUUCUGUCUUUUUCUCUCUCUCUUUCAGGUUAUUGACAAUAUCAUCAUGAUUUGAAACCCCCAGAAUCACCUGCUUUUAUUUAGCAGGGUAUUGUAAAUAGUAAACUACUGUCUUCAAAGCUCAGGAAGCCCUGUCUAUUUUAAUACCAACUUUCUGAAGGCUCAUUAGUAAUUAAUGAAGUCAUUAAGAAUGGUUCACAGUGACUGACACCUUCCUGGCAACCACAAUCUCCUCUUGUACUUAGAGGAAAUGCCACUGGCUCCACAGCGCUCGAGGGAGUAAGAAGACAUGGAGUGAAGAGCUGCCUCAUUUUCCAGAGAGAAUAGGGGCACUGAGAGCUUGGAGGGACGGCGGUAGCUGUCACAGUCCUGAAUUUUUACCUCCUGGAAUCCAGGAUGGGCCCCUUCCCCACCCCGCCAGCUGGAUGAGUGAUCACAGUGGAAUAAUGAUGCCAGGAGGCUCAGAGGGCCGCUCCCACACCGGGUUGGAGGAGAGCCUUACAGGUUGUCAAUGAAACCUGGAAUUAUUUCCUUUGAUGGCUCAGGUAAUAGUAGGAGCCAAGGCAAUGAGUGAGGUCGUCUGAAACCAAUGCAGUCCUGCCCGGGACCCGGGAGCCAAUCGCAGGAGCAGAGGGCGGGGCAUCAGCGCCAGCAGAAAAUUGCUAAGUGCCUCGCUAGCACAGUUGGUCCGAGCCGCCGAAAGGUCUGGUCGCAGAGACGGGGACGCGUAAUCCUCAGCGUGCUCCAUCCCGACAGCAGCCCUCCACGGCUCGGCAGGGCAGCGAGCCUCUGGGCACCGGCCCCUCUGCUCCACGGAGAAGGUACUCCUGCUGCAUCCCGGCGGGGCUGCUCUUGCGUUUCCGUCCUCAGCGGCUUGCAGUUUAGCCUCUGUAGAGGGGUUGCAGAAAGAAAAGUUUAGGGGAGGAAAUGUGACAACGGAGGGAAAUCACCGUGUUUUGUUGGGAGGAAAACAAGCUGACGGUUUGGGAAACUUCUGUGCUGUCUAGAACUGGAUUGGUUUACUACUCUCUCAAUUAGCCGCGCUCAGGUCUGUGGAAAUAGGUCUGGUCUUGGGCUAGGGUGCCUGCCUGUUGGGGUGUAGAUUUGGAUUUGUUGGGUGAAGGGGGUUGAACCCUGGAUGUGCUGCUUCCUGGAGGGCGCAUUGCUGGGAGGCUGACUCUGGGAAGCGUGAUGGGUUGGUUGGGUUUUCCACCAUAGGGUCUUCCCCCUUGACUUUAUCCUGACCUGCUGUCCCCCAACUCUUGUGACCUUCAGUUUGAGUCCUUCCUCAAACUUCUGUCUCCUUCCUCGCCCCUCCCGCUUGCCGACUCUGUCUGCGCUCAUUUAAUGUGGUGGAAGGAGACAUUUCCUGGGGUGUGGGCGACUGUCCUGUUUGACCUGAUGGGCGUCUGCCUGUCACAUAACUUGGUGAGAAAGCAACAAAACGGUUCCCAGAGGAAAAGCCGUCACUCCACUGAUUAGCUCCCAAAAACUCUGGAAGACUGUCUGGGCUUGGUGUGUACUGAAAUAAAGGGGAUGGAGUGAAAUUGCAGCCCGUGUGAAGGUUACGCCCUCACCAGGGACAGGCCGUAGGGUGCUAAGGAAGCCCGAGGCUCUGGGUGCAUGGGGGCUGAGGGGCUGCUCGCACCGCCAUCCCUGCUGCCUGUGAUGACUGUUCUUCAAGGGAAGGGCUGGCCACGGCAGGAGGCUGGGCCAGGCUUGUAGCAUCCUUGUUCCUUUCUGAGCAGUUAGGACCACAAGGGCCCUGCUUGCUCUGAGUCCCACCGGUGGUCCUGAGGAGAAGCCCUUCUCCCCACGUUCUGCCACCCGGGAGGUAUUAGGUCAGUGGGCCUCCUAGGAAGCAGGGUCCCCAUGGGAGAAGGUGAUGUGCUUGGUCUUAAACUUCCUUCCUGCUUUGGUGCAGGCAGCUCCUAUUUGAAUGUUCCACAGCACUUGGCCAGGUGUGUCCUCCCACCUGCUGGGUCCUCAGAAGCAGCUGGUCCAGGACUGAUCUUCCACAUCCCUGAGUCCCUCUGAAUUCUAGCCUAGACCCGAAGCUGGCAAGUUCGGUUCCCAGUCCUGGCAGGAUGGGGAUGUGCUGGGAGGACUCCUCCAGGACACCUGGUCCCCAGGACACCCUUCCCGCCGAGGUGUAGAUGCCUCCAUUCUCCGGCUCCACAAAUCACAUUCACUCUUUAAUUCUUGUUUUCUUUAACCUCCACAAGGGCUUCUCCUCCGCCUCCUUUACACAGCUAUUUCGGGUGGGAGAUGUUAUUGCCGAAGCUCUACUCACAAUGCUUAAAAAAAAACCGGCUGCCCGACUUUUGUUUUUCUUGGUCAGGAUACAGUCAGCUUUCUCCUCUGCACAUGUUGCCUGGCUGUAAACAAAACAAGCUUGCAAACCCGCAGAGGAGAAUGCCUUUGUGUUUGGGAGGCUGGAGUGGAGGCUGAACUUGUCUUGCCUGUUGGGGCAUCUUUGGCCCAAGACCUUCUCCUCUGUGGUCUGUCUGGGGCAGGUGACCCCCAGAGAGCCCACGAGAGAAGACAUCCAGCAGGUGGGAGCUUUUGAAAAGGGGCACCUUGGUUUUCAUGAAGGCAGUGAUAACACGAGAACAUGCUUUGGAGUUGGAGGGGUAUCUAGAACCGGGGACAGGUAGCAAAAUCGUGGGUCCCUCCCACCGAUGCCGAUCUGCUAGAUUUCUAUCGUGAUAGAGGACAUUCAACGUAAGGCUUUGAAACCGGCUCUAUUUUGAAACCGGCUUUAUUUUUAACAUGGACAUUCUUUACUUUUGGUCCCUGUGCCCUUUUCUUUAAUAAUUAAAGCAGAUGUACAGUGUAGGUUUGAUAGGCCACAAACAGGCUGUUUUAGUUAGCAUAAAAUUCAAGUUAACUCCUGUGUAAGCCAGAAUGACUUUCCCAUACCUCAGUAUGUGAAAAUUUCUUUUCUCACUACCAUCUGGGCACAGGGGAGGGGUCCCCAAUCUCUCCUGGCAGGACGGGGCAGGACAGUGUUUCCUGGAGAAAGGGACCCUGAGCUGAUUCUUGAAGGGUGGGAUGUGGAUGAUGCCAGUGAAGAAGGGUGGGAAAGGCCUCUCCUGAGUGUGGCCUCGACAUGAGUGAUGUCUUCAGGGAAACAAAAUUCAAAGGUAUUUCUAGAUGCAAAGUGCUAGCGGGUGGCUGUGUUCAUCUCCUUGGGCUGCUGUAACAAAUGACCACAAACUGCUUGGCUUACAACAAUAGAAAUUUAUUCUCUCACAGUUCUGGAGGCUACAAAUCUGAAGUCAAGGUGUAGGCAGGACCUCCCUCUGGAGGCUCUGAUUGAAAGUCAGGUCCCCGCUUCUCUCCUCGCUGCUGGUGGCUGCUGAGAACGCUUGCUGUUCCCUGGCUUGCAGCUGAGUCACGCCAGCCUGCUCUCUUCCCCGUGUGUGUCUCUGGGUGUCCUCUCCUCUUCGGAAAAAGACCCCAGUCAUUCGGUUUAGCACUCACUAUAAUCCAGUGUGACAUCAUCGUAAUUACAUCUGAAAAGACCCUAUUUCCAAAUAAGGUCACAUGUCCGAGGUGGACCUCAAUUUGGGGGGACGGUACUCUCGCAGCACAGCAGUAGAGACAAAAGUGGGGAUUGGAUGGUAGACAAAGGUACAGACCCAUACUGUGCAUAAUAGUGACAUUUACUUUGUCAACAUUUUCCAUUUUCUCGACUGGUCUGUUGCCGAAUUCGUGGGGAAUUCUCAAAGAGGGGUGCAUCUACUGAGGAUGCAGUGCCUUGGCUUCCAGUUGCACAUGUAGAGCUAGAAGCAGGGAUUCUGUCCCUGGCUCAGCUGCCUAGUAGUUUUACAGCAUUGCUUUGAACUUUCUAAACCUUCACUGCCAUGGUUUUAUAAUCAGGGAUUACAAUGACUGCCCUGCUUGUUUAGAAGCUUCCUGUUUGCCAA